GGUGGGGUUCCCGAGCGGCCAAAGGGAGCAGACUGUAAAUCUGCCGUCAUCGACUUCGAAGGUUCGAAUCCGUCCCCCACCACCA
rnacentral:tRNA from 1 species